GACAAACGCUGGCGGCGUGCCUAACACAUGCAAGUCGAACGAGGUUUUCCCUUCGGGGGGAGCCGAGUGGCGGACGGGUGAGUAACGCGUGAGCAACCUGCCCAUCAGAGGGGGAUAACAUUCGGAAACGGAUGCUAAUACCGCAUAAGACCACAGUGCCGCAAUGGUACGGAGGUCAAAGGAGGAAUCCGCUGAUGGAGGGGCUCGCGUCCCAUUAGGUAGAUGGUGAGGUAAUGGCUCACCAUGCCGACGAUGGGUAGCCGGACUGAGAGGUUGAUCGGCCACACUGGGACUGAGACACGGGCCCAGGACUCCUACGGGAGGCAGCAGUGGGGAAUAUUGGGCAAUGGGGGAAACCCUGACCCAGCAACGCCGCGUGAAGGAAGAAGGUUUUCGGAUUGUAAACUUCUGUCCCAUGGGAAGAAACAAAUGACGGUACCAUGGGAGGAAGCCCCGGCUAACUACGUGCCAGCAGCCGACGGUAAUAGUGUGUGUA
rnacentral:rRNA from 1 species